CCUACGGGCGGCUGCAGUGAGGAAUAUUGGUCAAUGGACGAGAGUCUGAACCAGCCAAGUAGCGUGAAGGAUGACUGCCCUCUGGGUUGUAAACUUCUUUUAUAUGGGAAUAAAAUGAUUCACGUGUGGGAUUAUGUAUGUACUAUAUGUAUCUGGAUCGGCUCACUCCGUGCCAGCCGCCGCGGUAAUACGGUGGAUGCGAUCGUUAUCCGGAUUUAUUGGGUUUAAAGGGUGCGUAGGCGGAUUUUUAAGUGAGUGGUAAAAUGUCCGGGCUCAACCCAGGCGGGCCAUUGAUACUGGGGAUCUUGAGUAUGAGAGAAGUAUGCGGAAUGCGUGGUGUAGCGGUGAAAUGCGUAGAUAUCACGCAGAACUCCGAUUGCGAAGGCAGCAUACCGGCGCCCGACUGACACUGAGGCACGAAAGCGUGGGGAUCGAACAGGAUUAGAUACCCUAGUAGUC
rnacentral:rRNA from 1 species